rnacentral:rRNA from 1 species
CAGCCGCCGCGGGAAUACGAAGGGUGCAAGCGUUAACCGGAAUUACUGGGCGUAAAGCGUGCGUAGGCGGUUUGUUAAGUCUGUUGUGAAAUCCCCGGGCUCAACCUGGGAAUGGCAAUGGAUACUGGCAAGCUAGAGUGUGUCAGAGGAUGGUGGAAUUCCCGGUGUAGCGGUGAAAUGCGUAGAGAUCGGGAGGAACAUCAGUGGCGAAGGCGGCCAUCUGGGACAACACUGACGCUGAGGCACGAAAGCGUGGGGAGCAAACAGGAUUAGAUACCCGAGUAGUCCCUGUCUCUUAUAC